CUCUUCUGCUAUUUUUUUUUAAAUUCCGCUUUUUCUCUCUGAUUCUUGAUAAACGUUGUUUCCAUCUAUUAAGAGUUCCACUAUAAUGGCAGAACAUGAAAAUCGUAGUAGUUCAGUUGAAGGAAGGUGUUAGCAUUGAAGAGUUGAGAUCAAAGCAGCGUAACGAUCCCGUAAAGACUGUGGAAAUCCUGAAAUAGAAAGUACUGGCAAAAUCUUCAUCCCCCAAAUCCACAAAAAUUUAAAAAUCGAUGAAAAAAAGAAAGUCAGAUGAAAAAGCAGAAUCUAGUAAAAUUGCAAGUCCUGUUUCAUCUGAUUUUAAAUCUAAAGAAGAGAAAGUGGAGGAGAUCUUAUUCGCAUAAGAUAUGCUUCACUUUUGUGGGAUUAUGGUUCGAGGAAAGAAGAAGCGAAGGCACAAAGUGGUGAUGAAGCACCAACGAGGCAUCCUCGAGAAAUUGGGAUAACAGAAGACACUGAAGUGCAUGAUAUUUGAUGUGUAUUUUAUUUUGUUGAAGUUUACAACAGUUAACA